rnacentral:lncRNA from 1 species
ACAGAAGAAGUAAAAUUGCCACAAAGUGAAUUGCUUGCCUAGCAUGCUGCAGGAAAAUCUCUAAUGUAAAAUUGUGGCUUAUGAAUGAUUAUUUGUCGCUGAACUCCAGGACACUGCCCUGUGGAAACGACGGACAUCUAAACUUGUUUGCUGCUGCUUUAGGAUUCGCUGACUGUUAACGCGACGGCACCUCUGCUGCUUCUUAAAGGUCACGCUGUCACAUAAUUCUGUUGCAGAGCCUCCCACACCGAAGGGGCAUGGAGGCUGGACACGGAGACACCAACUGCAAGAAUUCUGAUGAGUCUCAGGUACCCUUCCCAGUGGUGGCCAUCUGGGAGCAAGUGUCCCUUCCAGACUGUGGCAAUGGGAGCCCUCCGCUGGGUCUUCAGCCUUCUCCAGGGUGG